UGGGCAAACUGCCUUGUAUGGAGGGGGUUAACUACUGGAAACGGUAGCUAAUACCGCAUAACGUCGCAAGACCAAAGUGGGGGACCUUCGGGCCUCAUGCCAUCAGAUGUGCCCAGAUGGGAUUAGCUUGUAGGUGAGGUAAGGGCUCACCUAGGCGACGAUCCCUAGCUGGUCUGAGAGGAUGACCAGCCACACUGGAACUGAGACACGGUCCAGACUCCUACGGGAGGCACAGUGGGGAAUAUUGCACUAUGGGCACAAGCCUGAUGCAGCCAUGCCGCGUGAAUGAAGAAAGCCUUCAGGUU
rnacentral:rRNA from 1 species